CAUCACCCGCCGCAACUGCCCCAGAAACCUAAAUUCUAUAAAUAGAGCAGAUGUAGGAUCCCUCGAUGCCUUCGUUGAUACAAGACGUGAGCCGCCCUAGGGUUCCGAUCGCCCUCCGAUUGCCCUCCGGUUGAUUUUUCCUGUUUUAAUUUCGUCGCGGUAAAGAGCAAGUUGUUCAUAGAAAUUUUGUUGGAUUGAGGCACAACAUCUGAGGCUCCUUGCAAAAUCCAUUGUUCGGUUGCUUAAUUUUUGUGCAAUAAUAAAUUAUGGGAUGAGCAUUGCAGCACUAAUAGAUUGAUGUUUGUGCUGUCCUUUUUCACCCAACACUGCUACAUACCAUUACCGUCACCUACAUUGAUGUGAGUUUGUUGCUUAAGAAGUUUAUGCUGUUGUUAUAAAUUAUACUUUAUUUUAGUUUAACGAGACAUUUUAUUUUCCUUAAUCAAUUAUAGUUAGUUGGCCUGCACAAGUAGGUGAAGAAAAUAUUUUCCCAAACUUGAUUUGAUGCAUGAGUACUGACGCUCUAAUCAGUAUCAGUUACUCUUUGCAGCACAAAUGAACUUGUUUUGUGCUGCCCUUAAUUACCAAACACUAUUAUUAUUUGUCUUCCUUUCCAUAUAUUCUUCUGUCUGUCUUUGAGAUGCUGAUUGCUGUUCCUUUUCUUUUUUUGCUUUUGUCCAUGAUUCAUUGAUUCGGUCUCAUUCAUAAAAAUCUGAUAAAUGCCUCUUGAAUAACUGGAUGCAAGAAUUGCAAUGGUGUGCAUACAGUUCAGACGGUGGCAUAGAACAACAUGAAUCAUUGUUAGUGAAAGGAAUUUUUUUAUUUAAUUGUUCCUCUCUUAGAUGGCUUCAGAUAUUUAGAAUGAUUUUGCUUACUUCAACACAAGUAUUUGAGUUAAUUAUGAUACCUAAGGAGAUUAGUUAGUUAUUUGGACUAAUCUUCAAUUCAGGGACCUUGUCUUAUUUUAAUUUCUUCUUUAAGAAUUAAUAUGGUAUUUAUCAAUUAACCAUUAUUCACUGUGGAUUAAGCAUUUUAUACAUUUUCUGAAAGCUACAAAUUAAUAGUUUGAUGCACAGCACCGACGCUUUCGAGCAAGAUCCAUUGUUUGAUUGCCCUACAUAUCUGUGCAAGAUUGAAUUGGGGAACUCCCUUGCAGCACAAACUAAUUUGCUAUUCUGCUGCCAGUAGUCAUCCAACAUGUUACUAUUUACUGAUUUAGAGCUCAGAUUUUGUAGUAUCAUUUGUUCUCUUUGUUUCAUUAGUUUAUAAUUGUAUUCAUGUUUUUAGUAUCUCUUGUUUUGGCCAAGAUUCUGCAGUAUUCAUUUAUUGUUGCCUUUUUGGGUUUUCCAAAUUUUUAACUCUUUUCUAAUUCUAUUUUUGUCUUUUGAAUUAUUUUUUUUCAUCUCAAAUACAUACAAUAGAAGCAAACUCACUCUGUCCCAAAACCUCAACUUGAGCUAUGUUUUGUGGCAAUUUCUUCGUUUGCAAGAGGAAUCCAAAGUUGGUGUUUCUGGCCCAACUCUUCUGUAGGUGAACUUGUGAUCUUGCAGAGGUGGUUUGGAUCACAUCUUAUUGUCAAUGAGUCAUGAUCUAUCAAUAUAUUGAUUAUAUGAUUAUUGAUCUUCAAAAUUCAAUUCUGUUUUUCCUUGAUGUUUUCAGUCAGGUUGUUCUACAGUGGCACUAGUACAAUUGUUUGAGCUGGAGUAGCCCUGCUUAGUUUGUAGAUAGUCUCUUAUUGUUCAUGAUUUAUUGAAUUGUAAUUUGCUUCUUAUUUAGAUUUGAUUUGUUUAAAUACAAUGUUUUAUUUCAAGAUUCUCAUUUAGUAUUGUUUUUUUUUCUUGUCUCAAGAUUCAUAUCAAUAAUGUUAUUAAUAAAAAAUGUA